rnacentral:rRNA from 1 species
CCUACGGGCGGCUGCAGUAGGGAAUUUUCCGCAAUGGGCGAAAGCCUGACGGAGCAACGCCGCGUGAGGGAGGAAGGCCUUCGGGUCGUAAACCUUUGUCAUCGAGGACGAUAAUGACGGUACUCGAGGAGGAAGCCCCGGCUAACUACGUGCCAGCAGCCGCGGUAACACGUAGGGGGCGAGCGUUGUCCGGAAUUACUGGGCGUAAAGGGCGCGUAGGCGGCCCAAUAAGUCAGAUGUGAAAGUCCUGGGCUUAACCCAGGGAUUGCAUUUGAAACUGUUGGGCUUGAGGACAGGAGAGGAAAGCGGAAUUCCCAGUGUAGCGGUGAAAUGCGUAGAUAUUGGGAGGAACACCAGUGGCGAAGGCGGCUUUCUGGACUGUCCCUGACGCUGAGGCGCGAAAGCCAGGGGAGCGAACGGGCUUAGAUACCCGAGUAGUC